ACACUUUUUAAAAUGUUACAGCUGUUUUGUUUUUAUUUUAGAUGAAUCUCCCAAACAGUCAGAAGCAUAAAACCAGCUUAUUUGUUUCCCUGAAUUAAGAGACCUAAAAGCUUGCGGCCCUUCGUUCUGAACCUCUAACAUUUGGACUGCGUGUUCUACCUUUUGAAACGUUCACGUCAUCGGUCGUCAGAUUAUUUAAUCCGGCUUUCGUCUAACCCAAAAGGUCACGCCAGGUUCCCGGAGGCGUGCUUGGCGAUGCGCGUUGACCCGGGCCGGCCUCGUGGCUCUCAGAGCAGCCCGACUUGUCCGCCGGACCAGUCGCUGCUUUUAAUUGCGAUUUGGGACACAAUGUUUUUUGGCCGCCAUCUAAAUAUAAACCAUCGGGCGUGUGUGUGUGUGUGUGUGUGUGUGUGCGUGGCGCCGGGGGCAGGUUCGCAGGCGCGGGCGUGUUGCUACACCUUUGACAUUUCCAGCUUCAUUGUGGGUUUGACGGAUAGCUGCACGCAGCCGGUCAUUAUCAGCGAGGGUACGGAAACAAAAGGGCGUGAGCGGUAACGAUAAGGCGAGGCCCGCGCCGGAGUCACGCGCACGCCGCCAGGUUGACGCGGCCUGGAUGCAGAGGAAGGAGGGAAGGGUGUCGUCGGUCGGGACGGGUGGAGCAAGGGCUGGCAAUGGAAGGAAGAGAAGAUAGGGAGGGGAAACAAUUUGGUCGGGCGGAGGCAAGUGAGAAAAGAGCGAGGGAAGAGAGACCUGGGUGGAGACAGAGGUGGAGAGGGUGUGGACGGGUCAGAUAAGGGAAGGCGGAGGCGCAGGAGGGGCGACCGUCCAUUUUUACCUCCUCUGUGUGUUUUUGCAGCACAGAGGCUCGAGCCGCAGCCAUUAGCGACGCGAGGAAAGCUAACCGCGCUUUUAAUGAGGCCGAGGGCCAAGUUGUGUCUGUGGCCACGCGAUCAAUGGAAAAGGUCAAUGGGGUUUAUUGUUUUUUGGGGAGCUCAACUAGAACACACAGCUAGCAGGAUCCAAACCACUAGAUGCUUUAUUCCUCUGCAUAUAUAUAUAUAUAUAUAUAUAUAUAUAUAUAUAUAUAUAUAUAUAUAUAUAUAGAUUAAUUAACCAGUUUGGGGGCCACUGGGCCACAGUCUCUGGAUUGACUGAUCCAGGAUGGAGGAUAUUGAUUACAUGAAGACACAUUCCUGCAAUUUGACUGCAUCAAUAAAGAGAUGAUGUCUUUUUAGAGCACCUACAGUUCACAGUACGACUCAUACAUGUGUCUUACAUGUUUUAUUUGUUCUAUUUACUUCAUCUGAAACACCCUCAGUCUUCCAUCAAAAUACUGAAGUUUAAAGUUUCAUCAUGUGGCCACAUAGGUGUUCAUUGAGCGAGUAAACAUCGGCGGGGGGGGUUGUUGUUGUUGUUGUUGUUGUUGCAGAUGAACACCUGCUGAUAGAAAAUCAACUCCUGACCGAUUUAAAAAAAUAAGCUCUUAUAGUUCGGGGGAGAAAAGUGAGAGAAUUGUGUCGGC
ensembl:lncRNA